GAAACAUCAUUUUUUCAGGAUCCUUCAUCCCCGAAGAAGUACAAAAUAAUACAAACCCACAAGUCUUUUCUCUUUUCAGGUCAUCAUGAAUUAAAACAAAACAAAAGUAACAAGUCCGUUUUUCCUCUUUUUUGGAGUGCAAUCCUCCUUCCCUUGAAGUCAUGAGUAAAACUUCCAUAGAGUUUGAUGGGAGCAGGAUCAGACUUCUGUACUGGCAGUGAUCAAGAUCACACUUUAAAACUGGCAUCCGUGAGAGAAGAACCAGCAUUUCUCAUUAAAGACUACACCCCUGUUGCCAGUGCUCAUGCAUUUGACAGAGGCUGUGAAUGCUGGCCUCUUGGAAGACUUUCUUUCCUCCUUCUACAGCUAUACUUCUGUUUCAGAUUGGAAAGGUGGCUGUGAAAGUGCCCCUUACUGAUGGAAGUGAUAACACGCUUUGCAUUACUAUCAGGUAGGUAGAUGAAAAUCUCUAUUUUUUUCAUUGUUAGAAGCU
rnacentral:lncRNA from 1 species